CCGAGGAGUGGAGAGAGACGUGCUGAGAGUGGAGUAGAGUAGAGUAGAGUAGAGUAGGACUUUAUUUUCGAAGCAUGCGAUCUCGAACGACCACCGUUGCGUUCCUUUCCGUCCUCACUGAGACCUGGACUAUAAAACACAACGUGGCCACCAACGACCAGGACUACAGCCUCUCAAAGACUGCAGUCGGGCUCAGAGGGGCAGUGUGGAGACCCCUAGUGGUCUGAGACCAGGAGCUCUGAACGCUCUGGAGUCCACGCUGGAGACUUGGUGGGAACGUCACUCCUCGUCCUCCAACCUGUUUAUGAUGUGGUCCCCUGUCAGGCUGGGGGUUAGAUGUUCCCCUGGGUCUAAUGAUGAACCAUCUUCACAUUCAAGUGAGGAGACCAACAUUUGAUUGAGGCAUCCUAGAGAUGGGAGGGUCAUCACGACUACCUCUUGGCUGUUGGAGGCGGUCGUCUUGACGACCUGGUUCAGCAGAUUCUAGACCUAGAGGAGCAUCAACGCGUUUCGAGGGACCCCAACUUCAGAGUGAGAGGCAAGGACCUGGUAGAUCUACCUGAAGACCCCCACCUCUCCGUCAGGUGGGCAGCGGCCCACGGCUCCACCCCACCAAGUUGACUCAACCUACCAACGUCUUCCAGUCUGGAGCAGACACCCUGACCCAACCUGCGCCACCCAGAAUGAAAGCCCCAGAAGUCCCCAGGGAUGAGGAGAUGCUGAGUUACUGGGAGGAGGGUCUCCACUGGGCGGUCCUUAUCAUGGUUUCCUCCCCUUUCCUCGGCUGGAGUUAGUGUUGUCCUUAUAAGGGCUCGGUGGGUGAUGUCUCUUUUCUGAAGGCGGGACAUCUGAAGGGAUGUCUUGCCAAUUAAAUAGCUUUAUCUGAAUAGAAGAUGGAAAACCAUCUCUUGUAAGUCUAUUUACUUUUUUGGUUACUUUUCAAUGUUCUCAGCACCUCUGCUGAAUGUAACUUUGUAGCAGAUAGACGAUUAUCGUUUUUUUCAGUCAGCAAAUGUUACUGUAAGUUGUGUUUUUCCAUGUGUGAAUAAAAUGCUUGACUUAAAAA